GGGGACAUAGCCCCCAGUCGAACUCCUGCCUCCACCCUGGGGGUGCUGCCUUCUCUGCAGGUUUCCAGGCUACUGUGAACAGGCCUACAGCAUUCUGUGGUGCCAUGGGCUCCUCUUCCUUCAUCUCUUUGCUCUGAUGUGGGCAGCAGGCCUGCCUGAGCUCAGCUCCUCCAAAGACAUCCAGUAUUUGAAGGACACUCUGGUGCUGGGGAAAACGGAGGAGGAGAGGCUGAAGAGGAGGAGGGGCUGAAGCACUUUCGGAUGAAGUUCAAUGAAGCCCUGAGGGAGAG